rnacentral:rRNA from 1 species
AUGCUCCCCUCCUCUGCACGUCAUCGCCUGAAGGUCACCGUUGCCGCCGCCGAUUUACUCCCCAUUCCCCUCCACCAUCGGUGUCCAUUGUGUCCGUCUCCAGGGAUCCAACUAUGGCCGUUGCUUUGUUUCCUUCCUUUUCUGAUAAUCUCGUCCACAACGCAGCGGUGGCGUGGUGCGGACAAUCGGAGGAAAGCAGGUAGGAAAGGCCCGACAGUGGUGCCACGCGGGAUGAAGCAACGGCGGCACAGGAGCUUCCCGGCGCAGGUCAUCUUCCUCUCCUUUGUCCUCCCCCAUUCCCCUCCUAGAUACUCGUUGAUUAAGAGGUACAAGUGGGUGGCCAACUGCAAUUUCUAG